UUCGUUAAUUAGACGAUAAAAUGGUCCGGAAAUACAACGGUCCGGAAAACGUAAAAAAAUUGGCUGUGAAAUGAUCAUUAGCUCGUCCUACAUAUCCGUAAAAGGAAGUCACGUUGGUAAACAAAAUGCCGUGCGUCCCGGCUACGUCAUCACGCUGGCCAAGUUCAGCCGGUUCAAGACGCAGGGAUCAACCAGGAUAGAGGUGCAAACGUGCCAUCUAUCGGAGCCACCGUGACCAUGGCCAAGAAGAAUGAACUCAGUCAUGAUCUUCGUACGCGUGUUGUCAGUGUCUACAGUGGAGGCAAAGACUACAAUUCCAUUUCGAAAGAACUGGAUGUCCUUGUAUCAACCAUAUAGUGUAUCAUCAAGAAGUUCAAGAUGUCCAACACUUUAAAAAACUUGGAAGGAUGUGGCAGGAAGAGCAGAGUAUCCUCAAGAGUCGCUAGAAAGAUGUGCCAAGAUGCAAACAACAACCCCUGUAUCACCACCAAAGCUGUAAUAGACACCCUCAACUAAGCAGGGGAGAUGGUAUCAAGCUCCACUGUUCAGCGAAUUCUGCAUCGAGGUGGAAUCCAUGGACAUCGCACCAGAAAGACACCACUCCUUACCUAGAGACACCAGGAGGCGCGCCUGGCCUUUGCGAGGGGUUACCUAGGAAGAGAUCCCAACUUCUGGUCAUCUAUCCUCUGAGAAUUAACUGGAGCUCUUUGGACAUAUGGAUAUCUCAUAUGUUUGGUUUAAGAAAGAAGAAGCCUUCGAUCCUAAGAAUACCAUCUCAACAGUCAAGCACGGCGGUGGUCACAUCAUGCUAUGGGGAUGCUUCUUUGGCCGUGGUAUCUUGUUAAGAUGGAUGGUAUCAUGAAAAAGGAGGACUAUCUCAAAAUUCUUGAUGAAAACUUGGUGGUGUCAACACACAAGCUCAACCUGCCAAAGAAUUGGACCCACAGGAUCCAGCAGGAUAAUGACAUGAUGCAUAUGCGCAAGUGGUCAAGCAAUGGUUCAGGGACAACCCUUUUUUUAGGGAAAGACCUGACCUUCUAAUAAGCCUUCCAAUCUCCAACAACUGGAGGCUUUUGCAAAGGAAGAGUGGGGAAACAUUCCACAGCAGACCUGUAGAAAUCUUGUGGAGACCUAAAAAAAGCAUUUGCAGGCCGUGAAUAAGAACAAAGGCUUUUCUAUUAAUUUAUUGAAACAUUGUAAUAUAAAGGGUAUGAAUAAUUCUGAACAUGGUGGUGAUAUUUGAAUAUUUGUCAAAAACCCAUGAAAUGUCAUAUUUCUUGAAAUGUCACCUUUAUUCUCUCAGUUGUUUGUCACAUAAAUAUAUGAAAGUAUUAAAAAACUCAUUCAUCACAGAAGAAAACACUUAAAAAUACCAACGGUAUGAAUAAUUUUGAGCACAGCUGUAUGAGGAAAAAUGCAUUCAAAAGUUAAGCCAAACCGUCUAAAUCCCCCUGAUGGCAUGUCGCAGUUCAGUUUUUAACCUCAACCGUUCAAAGGAAAUGAAGCUGAAUUUAACGAAUUAUUUAUGAUGAUAAAUAAAAUGGUGUAGUUGUUGAGGUGAUUGGCAGAUUUGGGUUGGGUUCCAAAUCUCACAUUCUCUCUCUCUCUCUCUCUCUCUCUCUCUCUCUCUCUCUCUCUCUCUCUCUCUCUCUCACACACACACACACACACACACACACACACACACACACACACACACAUUCAAACGACACUUUGCACAAAGAAGAUUUAAAGAUUAAGUUUUGACAGCCAUGAUAUUUUUUGCUGUAAACUAUUGUCACAGAACCUCAUUGGGUGGUUUUUCUGGUACUUCCUUAUGGUGUCUAAGCUAACUUGCAUUACUGGUAUUAUAUCUGACAAAUCAACAAAAAAUCAAGUGUUAGCAUAAACCAAGAUAACUAACACUAGUCAAAUUUAUUAAAAAAUAUUUACCAUUGACUUUAUGACCACUGCAAACACUUAAAGUAGCUUGGUAAGGUUAGCCAGUCAUUUUUUAUUAUUUUUUUCAACCAAAUACGCAAACAAUGAUGAAGCAUGAAAGAGUGCAACCAUUGUGCGAUAUUGCUUUGUCUUUGUUCCUGCUAAUGGUCCCAUCACGGCCCGCAUUCAAUUUGUGAGAAAGGAACCAACCCAGCCACUGGGGGUUGCAUAAGCCAGUGCAAUCUCACAAUCCCAAGCAUGGAUAAAAAUGGAUGAGUUGUGCCUUGCAGGGCAUCUGGUGUAAAAAGCUGUGCCAAAUUAAAUAAACACAUCAAGUAAUCUGCUGUGAUGACCCCCAGUGGUAGCCAAUGAAGAAUAACAACAAUAGCUUUAUUGUUUUGUCUUUAUUUUGAUCAGACUCGUGGGGGAUACAGAGCUAGGAACACUUUGCACGAGGUACGAAUACGUGUUGGACAGGAUGCCAGUAUAUUGCAGAGCACCAUGAAUACAGAGUGGCACAAUUAUUUACAUCUAGUGUCAGAUUUAGAAGUUCACCUACUGGCACAAUUUGGGAGGUGGAAGUAAACCAGAGAAUCCUUAUUCAUCUUUAUAUUAUUCUCCAGAAACUAUCCUAGGAGGACUAUGUGUGAGACAGGAAUACACCCUUUUUAGGAUGAUGCAAUUUGCACAUUUAUACACUCAUUCACACCCAGGGUUGAUUUUAUGAUAUGCACUCUUCCUUCAGGGAACCCAGAUUACAUUGGGAGAAUACAGACAGACAGCCGUGCUGAGCUCAGGGACCCUAGAUCUAUGAGGCAAUUUUGUGCUGUUCAAAACAUUUUUCACUUCUUCAUGUAAUCCCUGACAGACUCGAUGAUGUUGAGAUAAGAGCUCUGUGGGGGCCAAACCAUCACAUUUAGGACUCCUGUUUCUCUACGCUGUAAAUCUGGGGCCAAUCAGACACAUCCCUGAUGGUAUUGUAUGAUGGAUAAAUAUCUUCCUGUAUUUCUCAGCAUUGAGAACACCAUUAAUCCUGACCAAAUCUCCAGCUUCAUUUGGAUAAAUGCAGCCCCAACCUUGCGAGGUUUUCUCUUCACUGUUGCCCGCAGAGACUGUAGACAUACCAGCCUUUCAGCAAACACGAAACAUUUUGACUCAUCAGAACAGAGCAUCUGCUGCAAAUUCCUAUGUUUUCAUGCAUUGUUGAAUUUUGGCCACAAUUCUUCCAUAAGGACUACUUCUGGCCAGACUUCUCCUCCUGGGUCCCACUGUAUUCCACCAGUUCUUUGCUGAUGGCAAUGAUGUCAAAAGGAAUUAAGCAAGGAGUCAAAGGGUAGUCACACAAAAAUAUUGAUUUGAUUUAGAUUUUUAUUCUUUUCAUUCAUUUUGCAUUUUGUAAAUUGAUUAAAAUUAAUUAAAAUAUA